rnacentral:rRNA from 1 species
GACAGAGGUGCCGAGCGUUAGGCGGAAUCACUGGGCUUAAAGCGUGUGUAGGCGGAUCCGUAAGUACCUUGUGAAAUCCCACGGCUCAACCGUGGAACUGCUUGGUAUACUGCGGGUCUUGAGCCACCUAGGGGCGAGCGGAACAAGUGGUGGAGCGGUGAAAUGCGCAGAUAUCAGGAGGAACACCGGUGGCGAAGGCGGGUCUCUGGGCAGUAACUGACGCUGAGGAGCGAAAGCGUGGGGAGCGAACAGG